rnacentral:rRNA from 1 species
GCUCAGAAACUUAAAGGAAUUGACGGGGCCCGCACAAGCGGAGGAGCAUGUGGUUUAAUUCGAUGAUACGCGAGGAACCUUACCUGGGCUCGAACGUAAGAUGACUGUAGGUGAAAGCUUACAUCUCUUCGGAGCAUUUUACGAGGUGCUGCAUGGUUGUCGUCAGCUCGUGCCGUGAGGUGUCGGGUUAAGUCCCAUAACGAGCGCAACCCCUACCUUUAGUUGCCAUCAGGUAAUGCUGGGGACUCUAAAGGAACUGCCUACGCAAGUAGUGAGGAAGGCGGGGAUGACGUCAAAUCAGCACGGCCCUUACGUCCAGGGCUACACACGUGCUACAAUGGCCGAUACAGAGGGCAGCUACCUGGUGACAGGAUGCAAAUCUCCAAAGUCGGUCUCAGUUCGGAUCGGAGUCUGCAACUCGACUUCAUGAAGCUGGAAUCGCUAGUAAUCGCAGAUCAGCCAAGCUGCGGUGAAUACGUUCCCGGGCCUU